AGUGAACGCUGGCGGUAGGCCUAACACAUGCAAGUCGAACGGCAGCACAGUAAGAGCUUGCUCUUACGGGUGGCGAGUGGCGGACGGGUGAGGAAUACAUCGGAAUCUACUUUUUCGUGGGGGAUAACGUAGGGAAACUUACGCUAAUACCGCAUACGACCUACGGGUGAAAGCAGGGGAUCUUCGGACCUUGCGCGAUUGAAUGAGCCGAUGUCGGAUUAGCUAGUUGGCGGGGUAAAGGCCCACCAAGGCGACGAUCCGUAGUUGGUCUGAGAGGAUGAUCAGCCACACUGGAACUGAGACACGGUCCAGACUCCUACGGGAGGCAGCAGUGGGGAAUAUUGGACAAUGGGCUGAAGCAUGAUCCAGCCACACCGCGUGGGUGAAGAAGGCCUUCGGGUUGUAAAGCCCUUUUGUUGGGAAAGAAAAGCAGCAGGUUAAUACCCCGCUGUUCUGACGGUACCCAAAGAAUAAGCACCGGCUAACUUCGUG
rnacentral:rRNA from 1 species